UUUUUUCUCCCCAAUUUCGUGGUAUCCAAUUGGUAGUUACAGUCUUGUCCCAUCGCUGCAACUCCCGUACGGACUCGGGAGAGGCGAAGGUCGAGAACCAUGCAUCCUUCGAAACAUGACCCUAACAAGCCACACUGCUUCUUGACACACUGCUCGCUUAACACGGAAGCCAGCCGCACCAAUGUGUCGGAGGAAACACUGUACUCCUGGCGACCGUGAUUGAACCCGGAUCUGUAGUGACACCUCAAGCACUGCAUUGCAUUGCCUUAGACCGCUGCACCACUCAGGAGGCCCCAUCUAUGGAUUUCACAUGACUGUGAAUACAAAUAUGCAUCUGUUGGUCACAGAUAGCUUUAAAAAAAGGUUGGGGCAUGGGUCAGAAAACCAGUCAGUAUCUGGAGUGGGCCAGAAAACCAGUCAGUAUCUGGUGUGGGUCAGAAAACCAGUCAGUAUCUGGAGUGGGUCAGAAAACCAGUCAGUAUCUGGUGUGGGUCAGAAAACCAGUCAGUAUCUGGAGUGGGUCAGAAAACCAGUCAGUAUCUGGUGUGGGUCAGAAAACCAGUCAGUAUCUGGUGUGGGUCAGAAAACCAGUCAGUAUCUGGUGUGGGUCAGAAAACCAGUCAGUAUCUGGUGUGACCACCAUUGGCCUCAUGCCACGCGACACAUCUCCUUUUCAUGGAGUUGAUCAGGCUGUUGAUUGUGGGAUAUUGUCCCACUCCUCUUCUGACUGUAUGAAUUUACUGGAUAUUGGCGUGAACUGGAACACGCUGUCGUAAAUGUUGAUCCAGAGCAUCCCAAACAUGCUCAACUGUAACAUUUUCCAUUUACCAUAACCCCACUGCCACCAUGGGGCACUCUGUUCACAAUGUUGACAUGUUGGUAAACCGCGCACCCACACGACGCCAUACACAAUGUCUGCCUUCUGCCCAGUACAGCUGAAACUAGGAUUCAUCCCUGAAGAGCACACUUCUCCAGCGUGCCAGUGGCCAUCGAAGGUGAGCAUUUGCCCACUGAAAUUGGUUACGACGCCAAACUGCCAUAAGUUCAAGACCCUGGUGUGGACAACGAGCAUGCAGAGGUUUGGCCCUAAUGGUUUCUGACAGUUUGUACAGAAAUUCUUUGGUUGUGCAAACCUACAGUUUCAUCAGCUGUCCUGGUGGCUGGUGUCAGACGAUUCCUCAGGUGAAGAAGCCGAAUGUGGAGGUCCUGGACUGGCAUGGUUAUAUGUGGUCUGAGGUUGUGAGGCUGGUUGGACGUACUGCCAAAUUCUCUAAAACGACAUUGGAGGUGGCUUAUGGUAGAGAAAUUAACAUUCAAUUUUGUGCACAACAUUUGAGAGAAAUGUGCAUUUUUGUGCAUAUGUGCCAUUUCAGGGAUCUUUUAUUUCAGCUUAUGGGACCAACACCUUUAUGUUUUGUAUUUUUAUUCAGUGUAGAUAACAAUUAGCUUUAAAGGCGCUGCAUGGUGAAUUCGACGUCUGCAUUGGCCAUGCAGCAUUUACAGUGAGAUCGCCUCUGCAGAAGUCAGGACAUUCAUACUUCUUGCACUUCGCCCAGCAGCGCUGUUGUGAAGGAAGUUGUUAAGGAAGUGAGUUCGUGUUUAUACAGGACCUCUCGCCAUCACCGACCGUCAACCAAUCAUGUCAAUGCGAAGCUAUACACAUUUUGAGAUGCACACAACGAUGCGGUACGGAGCUUAAUUUGGCCUCUUCAUUCCUCCGGAGGCUCCUCUAUUGCGUCACACCAUCCAUAUGGCGCCUCCAACCACAUUUUCAGAUCAAGCAUAAAUUAUCUCUUAGUCGCAUGCCAGCUUCUUUAGCCGAACUAACUCACAUUUUGCGAAGAAAGAUACACAAACUAAUAUUAUAAUAGAGAAAACAUGGAUUGAAUUUUAGAAGCAACGUGGAAAGUGGUAGCCUGUUGUUGCUUUGGAAGAAUCUGUUAAGUGCAUGCUGAGAGAAACAGGAAGUGUCUGUGUGUGAGCUGUGUGCCUGUUGAGUGACAGGGGGCGGGGCUGCAGACUGUUUAGAAUAUUGUCAGGCAUUGAGUUUUUUCAUCGGAAUCUUUUUUUUGUCACACGGUGCUUCCAAAAUAAAACUCCCAAGUCGCACAGCAAAAUAUUUGGUGGUGCUUUAGAUGAAUGUAUGUCUGUCUAUCUAACUCUAUGUAUAAGAGCAACUGCUCUCCCUGCUCUGCCAUAUGCUCCUCUCAAUUAAUCACAUUUAUUUAUAAAACCCUUUUUACAUUAGCAGAUGUCACAAAGUGCUGUACAGAAACCCAGUUUAAACCCCAAAGAGCAGGCAAUGCGGAUGUAGAAGCACGGUGGCUAGGAAAAACUCGUCUUCUCUCCCUGUCUGUGCUGUGACCUCUCCGAGCCUCAGUCAGAUUAUUUUAAAUACCUUAAUCCUGCUCAUUGACAUGGACACAAAAGCCCACUGACAUCUAAUAGAUGCCUCUUCACUUUCCCCUUUUCCUCUGCUUCAGACUGGCUUCAGUUCAGAUCAGCCCUCCCUCCACUCUCCCAUUCACCCUCCUCCUCCUCCCUCCACUCUCCCAUUCACCCUCCUCCUCCUCCCUCUACUCUCCCAUACACCCUCCUCCUCCUCCCUCUACUCUCCCAUACACCCUCCUCCUCCUCCUCCCUCCACUCUCCCAUCCACCCUCAUCCUCCUCCCUCCACUCUCCCAUCCACCCUCCUCUUCCUCCCUCCACUCUCCCAUCCAAUCUCCUCCUCUUCCCUCCACUCUCCCAUCCACCCUCCUCUUCCUCCCUCUACUCUCCCAUACACCCUCC
ensembl:lncRNA